UAUUUCUAUCCAUUCUCUCUUUUAGAUGCUUAAGAGGAUGGCAAUGUAGUUGCUGUAGUAGAAGUGUGACUACUUUAUUUGCUUUAAUGUGGUUUGGAGGGCUAGACUGGAGAAGGAAGCACAGAGGGAAGUAGACUGUAAAGCAACUGGCUCAGAAUCGAGUCCUGAGGUCUUUACGCAGUUCUUAACCAGUCCUUGUGCAAGAGAAGAGCAUCUUGGGUGCAGAUAUUACAGAAGCCUGCAAACCUGAAGAACACCAAGAGAGUGAACACAGGACCUGCACCCAUCGCAGCGUUCAGCUGCCAGACCUUCACAUCCCAGGAUGGCCCCUGUAAUAGCUGCACACGUGGAACGAGAUUUACUCAGUGAAUGGUGCUGCUGAUGGAUGCUGAGCGUCGUUUGGGGACAAAGAGGUGCAGAUGUCUCGGCUGUAUGGAGCAGCAAUGGGGGGGGACAGGACUCUCGAUUAUUUGUUCAAAGUUGCCUCUGCAGUGGACGGUCUUAGGAAGCCACGGCCAGAUUGUAGCAGACUUGCUGGGUGACCUGCUGCUGCCCAUGGCCAGUACCAACGGCCAGGACAUCCAUCGUGAGCGCAGUUCCCUCCUGUGAAAUGGCUUUGCCCUUCAUCUCCAAUGCACGGAUGCAGGUGGACUGCCAGGCACCGCUCUCCAUACAGGUACAGAAGAGCGAGGUCAAAACACGGUACCAGCUCCACUUUGUGCACCUUCUCCUGGUGAGCCCUCCCAGUGCUCCUUCUGCAAGUGUUUUUUUUUUAUACCCCUGCUGGGGGUUAUAAAAAAUGCAUUUUUCUUGGCUUAAAAAAGUAAAUUUAGGCACUACUUUUUGUGUUUUAAGACUCUAAGAAAUAUGUGUACUUUGAUUUAAAAAUGCCAUUGUGUCACAAUUUAUGCCCCCUUGAGCCUAGCUCUUUAUGAGUUUUUCAUACUGGAAUAUUGCUGUUAUUUAUUAAAUCCCUGAUAAAGCUGCACUUAAUACUCCCAUAAUAGAAUAUGCAUCUUUAAAUCUGCUGAAUAUGUGGUUUGUCACUGAUGCAAAGUGUACUGAUUAAUUAAAUAAGACUUAGAGAUUCAUAAAGCAAUUGCUGCAAAAUGAAAUGUUAUUUACAUCUAAGUAUAUUAUCAAUUAUGGAAACUUAAUUUUUCCCUUACACAAUCUGUCUUGAAAUUCCACUGAUAGUGUAGUAGUCUCUGAUGAUUUAAUGAUUUAAAACUAAUUUUCAGUAUUGAGCACGCUUGCAAAAAAUCAGCAGUGUUUUUCAAAACAAAUAAAGUUGAUAUUUUGCAUAAUGGCA
rnacentral:lncRNA from 1 species